UGGUAUAAUGAGCACAUGCCACUGACUGAAGUGAUCUAUUGCUUUUAUACAACGGUUACUAUUAUGGCAAAACGAAAGUCAUAGACACACUACAUUUAAACUCUAUGUUUUAUUUUAUUAAAGAAUACAAAAAAGUAGUCCCUCCUGGCUGCCUUCAAAAUGCUCGACGGUCGCUAUGGAACACACUUUAGCGUCCCUCUGAGAGAAGGCUCGGCUAGAGCGGUUCGCCGGCAAUUUAUCCUAUGGAGCAGUUCACUCGCCGUGUGCCUAAGCUUUCGUUAGUCUCUCCAUCGCCUUGUUCACUCCCGGAGUUACAACAUUUACACCCUCUCCAUCAUCCAACAUAUGUUUUACUUUGUAACUGUUUCUACUUCCAGGCGCGGAGUGAUAUGCAAACUUUCAAAAAAUGAUUGGGCGUCAUAGCAGUUAUGUAUGCGCUCAUUAUACAACAGUUAGGGAACCAAUCAGAUCGCUGGAUUUAACCCACCGUUGUAUAAAUAACAAUUUAUGUUAAUCUCAGUCCAGUAUAGGUUAGUACAGUAUAGUUGAUAUUGUCUUCAGGAAAUGAGUGACUGAACCUAGAGUGAUGUAGUAGUGGUAGUGUGUGUGGUGUUGUAUGUGUCAGAUUAUAACAAUUGUUGUCGUCAAUGGUUAUUAGUUAUUACAAGAGAGAUUACCAAACCAACCGCCGCCCUGUCAGUAAGACGCGACACGCCCUGUAAUGAAAUGGAAUAGUUUAUCCCACGCAUUUCAGAAAUUCAAAAGGAAGGUUUUCCAAACUUGAUCCAUUGAAUCCAUUUUCCAUUUAACCAUAAUUGAAAUAGAGCCAAGAUGAUUGCUAAUGUGACCUAUUAGUCAAACAGACUGUAAGAUAAACAGCAGUUUGAGUGACAUGUCCAAACAACUCACAGUGAAGGUGCAGUUUGACCUCAUUAGUAACCACAAAUAUGUCCGUCGAUCAGGUUCCAAACAAAGGAAUUUCAGAUUGAAAGAUUUCUUGGAAAUGUCAUAGCCGACUGUUUGGUUUCAGACCGCCUCCUGCUCAUUUCUGAUCAAUCAGGGCCUCUCUUCCUCAAUGGUUUUUUGAGAAUCCAUCUGGCCUGUCAAUCAAAGGUGCGUAAUUGUGUGACUUCUCAAUGGCGAAGGAACAUAGCAAAGAGGGUUGGGCUUGUUUAAAUUGUAACUCUCUCUGUAAAAUCCAUGUACAUACAGCAUCUUUAAAUGGUGGUUUGUUGAUGCAUUUGCAUCACAGCGCCAUCUGGUGGCAAUAUAAUAAACGCCACUGUGUUUAGCACAGAGUCCUUUGAGCUAAUCAUGAUGAUUGGAGACCAGUGGUUUAAGUACCCCGUAGAGCUGCGUGAUGCAAAAUGUGUGAGGAAGAGGACCGCAGGAGAGGACAGUCAUGCUGAUGUGACGUUAAAGCGGUUGCUGGUUGUGCAUUUAAUACGCAGUUGGCUUGUGGUCGCACACACACACACGCACACACACACUCUAGAUUCUCAACAAAAUCACACAAACAUACACACGAUAACACACACAUGCGCACACACAUGCACGCAUUGCACACACUCACACAGACACAGAAGCACACACACACACACACAUGCACGUGAAAACAAACACAACCAUACACACACAAAAUCCAUCAACAAACACACGAGCAUACACAAGCACACAGACACACAAACACAAUCUAUCUAUGUUCCUUCUCCCUGCCGGUCUCUCUGCCUGUAUGUCUCCCUGUUGGUGUGUCCCCUCGUCAACCUUUAGAACGUCUUUAUGACCCCGCGAGUGCUUCACUCACACUCUGAUACGGACAACUGCUUUGAACUGUGUGUGUGUUUGUGUGUGUUUGUAUGUGUCCGUUGACACAAAAUGUAUGUAUCAGUGAUUGCAGGUCUUUUAUUAACAGAGUUUGGGGUUAAUGUAUCACUUGUACACUGGCUAUUAAAACAAAAACUCGCACUCACACACACAGACACACACACACACAAACACUGAUUCAUACCCGGAAUAUACUCAAGCACACCUGACUUUACUAUUCUAUAUCAUAUAUAAGUCUUUAUUUUUUUCGUUCUUACUUACUUUCUUUCUUUCUUGCCGCUUUCUGCCAUUAUACCUCCUUUCAAUCUAAAUUAAUUUCUUUAUGUUUCAACAUUUACAUUGAGUCAUUUAGACACUUGGGAGUGGAAGUAGUUUUGCGUUUCUCUUUCCCUGUUUGUUUCCUAAAUUCUCUGUUCUUUCUUUCCUCUGGUGAUAAAGAAUACCCUUGGAAUGUGUGUAGGUUUGGUCUACGCUGUCCUUAUCAGGCUCCAUUGUGGCGUAGCACAGUGUGACCAACGCACGACUUAUGCACCAAACAAAGCUCCUUUCAAAACAACCCCCUUUUUUUCACCUGCUCCACGAUAUAAUCACUGUCCACCUAGAUCGACUGUAGCAGUUGCCUUGUUUGCUUCGCAGUGACAUCGACAGUAUAGAUUCCUUUCUCUUGGGCUGUCACUUGGGCUCCUUAUUCCUUGAGAGGUUCAGGGGAAAGUUGAACGUUGCAAAUUAAAAUACAUUCUCCUUUG
ensembl:lncRNA